rnacentral:rRNA from 1 species
AGGGAAUAUUAGUAAUGGGCGAAAGCCUGAACUAGCAACGCCGCGUGUGCGAAGAAGGCCUUCGGGUUGUAAAGCACUUUUUGAGAGGAUGAGGAAGGACGGUACUCUCAGAAUAAGUCUCGGCUAACUACGUGCCAGCAGCCGCGGUAACACGUAGGAGGCGAACGUUAUCCGGAUUCACUGGGCGUAAAGCGCGUGUAGGUGGUUUGGUAAGUAGGGCGUGAAAGCUCCUGGCUCAACUGGGAGAGGCCGUUCUAAACUGCCGAACUAGAGGAUGGUAGAGGGAGGUGGAAUUCCGGGUGUAGCGGUGGAAUGCGCAGAUAUCCGGAGGAACACCAGUGGCGAAAGCGGCCUCCUGGACCAUUCCUGACACUCAGACGCGAAAUCUAGGGUAGCAAACGG